rnacentral:rRNA from 1 species
UGGGAAUAUUGCACAAUGGGCGAAAGCCUGAUGCAGCAACGCCGCGUGAGUGAUGAAGGCCUUCGGGUUGUAAAGCUCUGUCUUUUGGGACGAUAAUGACGGUACCAAAGGAGGAAGCCACGGCUAACUACGUGCCAGCAGCAGCGGUAAUACGUAGGUGGCAAGCGUUGUCCGGAUUUACGGGCGUAAAGGAUGCGUAGGCGGAUUUUUAAGUGAGAUGUGAAAUACCCGGGCUUAACUUGGGUGCUGCAUUUCAAACUGGGAAUCUAGAGUGCGGGAGAGGAGAAUGGAAUUCCUAGUGUAGCGGUGAAAUGCGUAGAGAUUAGGAAGAACACCAGUGGCGAAGGCGAUUCUCUGGACCGUAACUGACGCUGAGGCAUGAAAGCGUGGGUAGCAAACAGGAUUAGAUACCCUGGUAGUCCACGCCGUAAACGAUGAGUACUAGGUGUAGGAGGUAUCGACCCCUUCUGUGCCGCAGUUAACACAAUAAGUACUCCGCCUGGGAAGUACGAUCGCAAGAUUAAAACUCAAAUGAA